rnacentral:rRNA from 1 species
AUUGAACGCUGGCGGCAGGCCUAACACAUGCAAGUCGAGCGGAUGAAGGGAGCUUGCUCCUGGAUUCAGCGGCGGACGGGUGAGUAAUGCCUAGGAAUCUGCCUGGUAGUGGGGGAUAACGUCCGGAAACGGGCGCUAAUACCGCAUACUUCCUGAGGGAGAAAGUGGGGGAUCUUCGGACCUCACGCUAUCAGAUGAGCCUAGGUCGGAUUAGCUAGUUGGUGGGGUAAGGGCCUACCAAGGCGACGAUCCGUAACUGGUCUGAGAGGAUGAUCAGUCACACUGGAACUGAGACACGGUCCAGACUCCUACGGGAGGCAGCAGUGGGGAAUAUUGGACAAUGGGCGAAAGCCUGAUCCAGCCAUGCCGCGUGUGUGAAGAAGGUCUUCGGAUUGUAAAGCACUUUAAGUUGGGAGGAAGGGCAGUAAGUUAAUACCUUGCUGUUUUGACGUUACCAACAGAAUAAGCACCGGCUAACUUCGUG